rnacentral:rRNA from 1 species
AUGGCAGAGUUGUUAUGGAAAUUCAUCGGCCUUUUUUUGUGGUUGAAGAGUUUCACGAAUUGUGACCCGGAUCUCGCGAAUAUAUCGAUUCCAGCCAACGAUGACACUAUGACUUCAAUUCGAUUGAUUCUUAACAAAUUAGUAUUUUCAAUUUGUGAGGGCCUUUCUCUCUAUAUAAGAAAUCGUUGA